rnacentral:rRNA from 1 species
UACGGAGGGUGCAAGCGUUAUCCGGAUUCACUGGGUUUAAAGGGUGCGUAGGCGGACAGGUAAGUCCGUGGUGAGAUCCUGCAGCUUAACUGCAGAACUGCCAUGGAUACUAUCUAUCUUGAAUGUCGUGGAGGUUAGCGGAAUAUGUCAUGUAGCGGUGAAAUGCUUAGAGAUGACAUAGAACACCCAUUGCGAAGGCAGCUAACUACGCGAUAAUUGACGCUGAUGCACGAAAGCGUGGGGAUCAAACAGG